GAUGAACGCUGGCGGCGUGCUUAACACAUGCAAGUCGAACGAACAUAUCUUUCGGGAUGUGUUAGUGGCAGACGGGUGCGUAACACGUGGGUGACCUGCCCUUAAGUGGGGAAUAACUAUCCUAAAGGAUAGCUAAUACCGCAUAAGUUCGGUGAUUCGUUUCAUCGAGUAAAGUCGCAAGACGCUUUGGGAUGGGCCUGCGGCGGAUUAGGUAGUUGGUGGGGUAAUGGCCUACCAAGCCGAUGAUCCGUAGGGGGCGUGAGAGCGUGGCCCCCCACACUGGCACUGAGAUACGGGCCAGACUCCUACGGGAGGCAGCAGUGAGGAAUAUUGCACAAUGGGCGAAAACCUGAUGCAGCAACGCCGCGUGAGGGACGAAGGCCUUCGGGUCGUAAACCUCUUUUCUGGGGAAAGAGACAGGACGGUACCUCAGGAAUAAGUCUCGGCUAACUACGUG
rnacentral:rRNA from 1 species